GCCGUAGCUCAGUAGUAGAGCAUCCGUCUUGUGUGCAGAAGGUCCCAGGUUCAAUCCCAGAGGACAUCUCCA